UGUAUCUGGAAAUCCAAAAGUCACCAUAUUGAAACGCUCCUUUACUGAAAAAAACGCUCCGUCAUAUUACCAAUAAAAGCAACAAAAAGAACCCCAGUUGACGUUCCGCUCUCUCUCCUACAGGGUUUUGAUCUACUAGGAAUGAGCGGAUAUGUCAUGAAUAUAGGUGGAAGAAUAAUCGUUAGCAGAUGCAUCUCUCUUUUGCACCUUGAUGCAACUUCGAUCCUGUAUAGAAAUGGAUCCCAUGCUUGGAGGGUUAGGAAAACUAAUGCAAUCUGCAAUAUGGAUCUAGAAUAAUCAGCUUUGUUGGUGUUAUUUCUGGCUAAAACCAACAUAAGACUAUGGGCACAACGUAGAUGAUCGGGACUAGACAAGUGCAUAAUGGGUGAGAUGGCUAGAAACCGGAGAGUGCAACUUUAAUUUCGAGAAAUUUUGAUGAAUGAUCGUAAAAGUAUUUCAUUUGGAAGUAAGUGAUGCUUAAUGUGAGAAGAGACAACAAAAUCAAUGGUGAAAGAAUUGACUUGUAAUGUUGCAAGCUUUCUUUUAUUGUUCUUGUGUAAAUAUAUUGAAACUCAGAUUACUUUGAUCAUAGUAUUUGAGGACUACAGAUUACUACAAGAUUGACAUCCAUAAAAAGUUUCGGGGUGGAAUGAAAGGGAAGGAAAAGAACACGGGGAUGGUUUUUGCUGCUGGAAAAUGAGUAUUUUUCUUCGCUGCACACACCUAAAAACUGAAGGCUGCCUUGUGAAAAUAUGGAGUACGCUAUAAUUAGGAUAUUAUUAUUAUUCUAGAAAUGUAUUCACUGGUUUGUCUUUUUUUUUUUUCCAAAAUUAAUUACUAUUCGAUUUCAUUUGAUUUCUA